AACACAUGCAAGUCGGGCGGUAACAGGAGGAAGCUUGCUUUCUUGCUGACGAGCGGCGGACGGGUGAGUAAUGCCUGGGAAAUUGCCCUGAUGUGGGGGAUAACCAUUGGAAACGAUGGCUAAUACCGCAUAGUAGCUUCGGCUUAAAGAGGGGGACCUUAGGGCCUCUCGCGUCAGGAUAUGCCCAGGUGGGAUUAGCUAGUUGGUGGGGUAAUAGCUCACCAAGGCGACGAUCUCUAGCUGGUCUGAGAGGAUGAUCAGCCACACUGGAACUGAGACACGGUCCAGACUCCUACGGGAGGCAGCAGUGGGGAAUAUUGCACAAUGGGCGCAAGCCUGAUGCAGCCAUGCCGCGUGUAUGAAGAAGGCCUUCGGGUUGUAAAGUACUUUCAGUGGUGAGGAAGGUGGUGUGUUUAAUAGACAUAUUGCUUGACGUUAGCCACAGAAGAAGCACCGGCUAACUCCGUGCCAGCAGCCGCGGUAAUACGGAGGGUGCGAGCGUUAAUCGGAAUUACUGGGCGUAAAGCGCAUGCAGGUGGUCUGUUAAGUCAGAUGUGAAAGCCCGGGGCUUAACCUCGGAAUAGCAUUUGAAACUGUCAGACUAGAGUACUGUAGAGGGGGGUAGAAUUUC
rnacentral:rRNA from 1 species